rnacentral:rRNA from 1 species
CCCUUAGAUGUUUGGGGCCGCACGCGCGCUACACUGAAGGAAUCAACGUGUGUCUCGCCUGGCCUGGGAAGGCUGGGUAACCCGUUGAACCUCCUUCGUGCUAGGGAUUGGGGCUUGUAAUUCUUCCCCAUGAACGAGGAAUUCCCAGUAAGCGCGAGUCAUCAUCUCGCGUUGAUUACGUCCCUGCCCUUUGUACACACCGCCCGUCGCUACUACCGAUUGGAUGGUUUAGUGAGACCCUCGGAUUGGACCCGGCAUGGUGGUUACCGCCGCGCCGGCGUGCCGAGAAGACGGUCAAACUUGAUCAUCUAGGGGAAGUAAAAGUCGUANCA